rnacentral:rRNA from 1 species
AUUGAACGCUGGCGGCAUGCCUUACACAUGCAAGUCGAACGGUAACAGGUCUUCGGAUGCUGACGAGUGGCGAACGGGUGAGUAAUACAUCGGAACGUGCCCGAUCGUGGGGGAUAACGGAGCGAAAGCUUUGCUAAUAACGCAUACGAUCUACGGAUGAAAGCAGGGGGGCGCAAGGCCUUGCGCGAACGGAGCGGCCGAUGGCAGAUUAGGUAGUUGGUGGGAUAAAAGCUUACCAAGCCGACGAUCUGUAGCUGGUCUGAGAGGACGACCAGCCACACUGGGACUGAGACACGGCCCAGACUCCUACGGGAGGCAGCAGUGGGGAAUUUUGGACAAUGGGCGCAAGCCUGAUCCAGCAAUGCCGCGUGCAGGAUGAAGGCCUUCGGGUUGUAAACUGCUUUUGUACGGAACGAAAAGGCUCUGGUUAAUACCUGGGGCUCAUGACGGUACCGUAAGAAUAAGCACCGGCUAACUACGUGCCAGCCGCCGCCGUAACAC